AUUCAAGAGAAAAUUCGUGAAUUUCAAGGAAUUAAGCAAGUAAAGGUGGUGAGUCCUCUAACAAAGGUAAAGACAUUGUGCUAGAGGACCAAGAGUAGGGUAUUUCGAACUUCCGAUAUUGCUUAGGAUAAUCUGUAGAUAGCUGAUUUCGUCGAGGGCUACAGUUGGAUGUGCAUUCUUAAAAACCGUAGGUUCGCAGCCUUCGUUACUUUUGGUCAUUCGGGGGCCCACAUGUCAUUAUAAAUUAAAUUACACACUUUGGCUCACUGUGUUACUGUAUGUACGAAUUUAUUUUACUUUUACGCUACAAAAAUUAU